rnacentral:tRNA from 1 species
GUGGUUGUAGCUCAGUUGGUUAGAGCGCUGGUUUGUGGUACCGGAGGUCGGGGGUUCAAAUCCCCUCAGCCACCCCA